ensembl:lncRNA
GUUCAACACUGAGUCAAGAGAGGAAAAUGCCACUUACUGAACCUCCAAGACUUAUUUCCAACAACCCAGAGCUCUUGGAGGUCUCCCAUCAAAACGCUAAGCAGGCCCUGCUGCUGCGUGCCUGUGAGACCUCACAAGCGCAGGACAAGGAGGAUGCUGUGCUGUUCAGGGCGCUCAAUUUGGAGAAAGAGCCUCCUGGAUUUCCAGCAGGGUGAUGCUGGAUGUGUCCUGCUUCACAUCUCACCCAUAGGCAAAACAACGGCUCCAGCAGCAGGCAGAGGAUAGCACCAGGCAGCAGAGAGCAGCCGUGAGUUCUACUCCUCUCAUCACUCCCCUACAUUCCCUGAAGACUCCUCUUGUCACCAUUGAUGGCUUUAGGUACAUCAGAGACUGUGAGGAGCACAGCUGUGGUGGCCAUCAAAGCCAUACUUUCUCCAGCAUGGGAAGCUGCAAGAAGACAAGAAGGAGGCAGAGAUAAGGGAAUGCUUCACUCAUGAGGGUCUCAAAGCACCAGGGAACGGUUAUGGUCUGGAAGAACCAUAUAACAAGAGUUACCCGAGGAACUCUUACGGGCUGAGGUCUCACAGCCAAACUUGGAGUCUCCUGCUGAGAUGCUUUAUCUCUUUAUAGCCAAGCAUUGGGCUGAGGUCAAGGGUCCCAUAGGUGCAGUCAGCCCACCGGACCCCUCAGCAGAUGACUGCUGCUGAGGGCUUUAUUAGUUCCUCCAGUAAUGGUGAUGAAUUAGCCUGCUUCACACACUCCUCUCAUCACUUUUGAUUUAUAUCCCUCACGCUUUGUAUGCCGAAAGCAAAACCAUUGAUGAGACACUUCAAGGAGAGCAUGACUGUAGGUGCAAGUGCCUUUUUCAUGUCUUCGAAGCUCAAGCUGCAGAAUCACAGCAGCAAGAGCAACACGAAGGUGAGUGAGGUCCUUCCAUCCUGAUCCUGACUCCAUCCCCUGCUCAGCACUAGCAAGG